UACGAAGGGGGCUAGCGUUGUUCGGAAUUACUGGGCGUAAAGCGCACGCAGGCGGAUUUAUAAGUCAGGGGUGAAAUCCCGGGGCUCAACCUCGGAAUUGCCUUUGAUACUGUCUAUCUUGAGUCCGGGAGAGGUGAGUGGAAUUCCUAGUGUAGAGGUGAAAUUCGUAGAGAUUAGGAAGAACACCAGUGGCGAAGGCGGCUCACUGGCCCGGUACUGACGCUCAUGUGCGAAAGAGUGGGGAGCAAACAGG
rnacentral:rRNA from 1 species